rnacentral:rRNA from 1 species
UACGAAGGGGGCUAGCGUUCCUCGGAAUCACUGGGCGUAAAGCGCACGUAGGCGGAUCGUUAAGUCAGGGGUGAAAUCCUGGAGCUCAACUCCAGAACUGCCUUUGAUACUGGCGACCUUGAGUUCGGGAGAGGUGAGUGGAACUGCGAGUGUAGAGGUGAAAUUCGUAGAUAUUCGCAAGAACACCAGUGGCGAAGGCGGCUCACUGGCCCGAUACUGACGCUGAGGUGCGAAAGCGUGGGGAGCAAACAGG